ensembl:lncRNA
CACAGUGUUUUAAAAACUUGAAUUUUGUGUAGUUUGAAGGGUGUUCGUACUCAGCAAGGUGGCCACUAGCCUACUACUAUAAAUUUUCUGGGCCUCAAACGUUCAAAAAUGUUUUAAGGCCUUUGAAUUGGCAAAUUCUGAGUAGACAUAAAAGGGAUCCUCUUAUGCCAGCUCUUAACUGUUCUGAUUUUGGAGUCAGUUCUGUAGGAUUUGAAUUUAUGAUGCUAUUUUUUGGUGAAGACUCUUGCCAAAAAUGUAUUUCCUUUCAAACUCGAUAGCCUCUAUGUAUUUUGCUUAUUUUAUGCUAAUGGAGGAAAAUUCAACAUACUUAACUGUAUUUUUGAAAUCUAGGGUCGUUAAACUCACAGGGCUAUGGAGUUUAAAGAUUCAGGCUUUUGUAACCAGGAAAAGUGAUCCUAGAUAAAAUAUUUUAAUUGGUGAUUCAGAUGUUCAUUGGUUAAUUUCUUAAUUGGUUCUCUGGAAUCUUAAAUAGAUAUUAUCCAAAUUAUAGUUUAACCAGUGAGACUUAAAACUUGAAUUCUCACCUUUUUUCCUUAAUCUUGAGGGACAGAGAAAGCAAACAACCCAGAAGCCUUCUAAUUUUGACUAAAUAAUCAUUAAGUAAAAGGCAGGAAAGGAUUGUGAAUUAAUGUUACCCAGUGUUUCAUAGAAUGCUGUGGGUGCAAUCAGGUUUUUUAAAGACUUUAAAGGUUUUUUAUAUGUUACCAAAAUAUAAUACAUGUUUAUGAUGUUUAAAAAUUAUGCAAUAUAUAAAGAGGUAUAAAGUGGAAAAGUGUGUCUCCUUCCUGUGACUCUAUUCCCACAUCCCAGAGAAAUACAGUUACUUGUGUUUUUGUAUAGUCUUUCAGAAAUGUUAUCAUUUAUUUUAUAUACUUCUUUCUCUCUCUAUAUAUAUGCCUCUUGCUGUCCUCUGUUGUUUUAAAUGUAUGGUUUUAUAACUUGAUUCUCUUUGUUUAACUUGGUUAUUUUUCCAUAUUACUACAUCCAACUCUAAUUCAUUAUCUCUUUGGAGCUCCAAGAUUUCAUUAUAUGGAUGCCCCUUUUGAAGAAUAUUUGUUUAUAGAGUUUUUCUACUUAAAAACAUUGUUAAAAUGAGAAUAUCCUUAUGCAUAUAUGAAGGUUAGUCAUGAAUCUGCCUGACUCUAAACUCAAUAAAAUAGACAUCAUUCAAUUUUGAAUCUCACCUGCAGAUUCAGUAUGACUGUCUUAAAAUAAGAUGUUUGAAAAAUCUCAUACUUUUUAAUUGAACUGUGAAGGCCUUCAGUUGGUUCAUUGAAGAUUGUGCAAGUUCACAUCUAUUUAGCACCUUAAUUUUAAUUUUUCCAUGACCCUUGACGUUUCUAAACAUUCAAGGUUUGGAACUAUUUUCUAUUACUACUUGUUGGUAUUGUGCCUUUCCUUAUCUACAUUAGCUUAGAAUAUACCUUAUUUUUGAGAUGAGAACAUAGAAUUUAAUUUGGCAAAAUCUUUUGGCACAACCACAUGUUUUAUUUAUUACUUCUCCAAAAUUAACUCCCUUUGCCUUAGAAAAGACUUGGGUAAUAACUGAAAGUUCCAGUUCUCAUUCCUCACUAGAUUAUAGAGUUGAGAAUUUCUUUAUUUGUGUUUAUCAUUAGUCAAGGACAAGUCUUUGUUUCUGGAAUCGUUCAUGAGAAAUGAUAUCAGCACUUAAGGCUUAAGAAUAGGGAAUGAGAUAACUGAGAAAUCUGAAAGAAAGAAUGAGGCCCUUUUAGUCAGCAGGGCAUAUUUUGGAAGAUGUUUUGAUAUGACAAGAUUUAUGAAGACCAGUCUUAAUUGCAAGAGGUGGUCUUAGGUAUUAGACAAAAACAGGUUGAUUUCAAUUUUCCUUUCAAAUAUAUGGUAGAUAUAUUUGAUUUGCUGUUCAUUGUGAAACCUUGUUGGAAUAAAUUUUUAAAAAUAAAGACUCCUGAAUUUAUGUACCAUUUGA